AUGGCCAAGGCUUGCCUACUCCGCGGUGUGGGGCUGGUGGUGUGCGCACUCCUGCUUCUCUCGCCCUCUUUCAUGGCGGCUGAGGCAACUGGCCGGAAAUGGGAUCACGGGAGAGAGGCCACGGUGGCCGUGAUGCCGAUGGCGGGAGGGCAUUUUGCGAGGAAGGUGUUGCGGGAGGAGAUGGUCCAGGCAGACGGCGACGUCGACAUUGCCGGCUCUAAGAGGAAAAGCCCCGGUGGCCCAGACCCUCAGCAUCAUUAA
rnacentral:rRNA from 1 species